rnacentral:rRNA from 1 species
CAGUAGCCGCGGGAAUACGUAGGUGGCAAGCGUUGUCCGGAAUUAUUAGGCGUAAAGGGCUCGCAGGCGGUUUCUUAAGUCUGAUGUGAAAGCCCCCGGCUCAACCGGGGAGGGUCAUCGGAAACUGGGAAACUUGAGUGCAGAAGAGGAGAGUGGAAUUCCACGUGUAGCGGUGAAAUGCGUAGAGAUGUGGAGGAACACCAGUGGCGAAGGCGACUCUCUGGUCUGUAACUGACGCUGAAGAGCGAAAGCGUGGGGAGCGAACAGGAUUAGAUACCCCGGUAGUCCCUGUCUCUUAUAC